AUUGAACGCUGGCGGAAUGCUUUACACAUGCAAGUCGAACGGCAGCACGGACUUCGGUCUGGUGGCGAGUGGCGAACGGGUGAGUAACAUAUCGGAACGUAUCCAAUAAUGGGGGAUAACGAGUCGAAAGAUUCGCUAAUACCGCAUACGCCCUACGGGGGAAAGCUGGGGACCUUUGGGCCUGGCGUUAAUGGAGCGGCCGAUAUCUGAUUAGCUAGUUGGUGAGGUAAAGGCUCACCAAGGCGACGAUCAGUAGCUGGGCUGAGAGGACGACCAGUCACACUGGAACGGAGACGCGGUCCAGACUCCUACGGGAGGCAGCAGUGGGGAAUUUUGGACAAUGGGCGCAAGCCUGAUCCAGCCAUUCCGCGUGAGUGAAGAAGGCCUUCGGGUUGUAAAGCUCUUUCGCAAGGGAAGAAAACUUAGCCACUAACAUUGGUUGAGGUUGACGGUACCUUGAUAAGAAGCACCGGCUAACUACGUGCCAGCAGCCGCCGUAAGAC
rnacentral:rRNA from 1 species